UACAGAGGGUGCGAGCGUUAAUCGGAAUUACUGGGCGUAAAGCGUGCGUAGACGGCUAUCUAAGUCGGGUGUGAAAGCCCCGGGCUCAACCUGGGAAUUGCAUUCGAGACUGAAUAGCUAGGGUGCGGUAGAGGGAAGCGGAAUUUCCGGUGUAGCGGUGAAAUGCGUAGAGAUCAUGAGGAAGACCAGUGGCGAAGGCGGGUCUCUGGACAGUUCCUGACACUGAGACACGAAGGCCAGGGGAGCAAACGGG
rnacentral:rRNA from 1 species